GACGACUGAAGUGUAGUGGCUGGCUUUGAAGCUGCAGCUGCUACGUUGGCUGCAUGUUGGGAGGUAACGACGGGUAGCUGUGAGCUGCAAUAUUGUUGGUUGAAUGAUAUCUGCCAUCGUUCCCUCGCUCCGACUCCUGCGUAUCGAGAGAUCCUGCUUGAGGCUCAUAAGUCUGCUUCCCAUCAAGGUAGUGCUGUUGACUAUGCACUGUUGCUUUUGUUCCGCUCGGAGGGAGGUGGUCAUGUUUGAUCGAUCUGCAGAAUCAUUCAGAGAGCUAGACUUGAUUUACGGCCGGUUGUAGUACGCCAUGUGGGGAAGAAG
rnacentral:lncRNA from 1 species